UUUUGAGUUACCUUUGAGACUUAAGAGAUACAAUUUUGAUAAGUUUUGGUGCUAUUGAUAUUUGUAAUUGUUCAAAUCUAUGUAUCAACCUGCUACUGAUGUAACACUUAAAGCCUCUAGUAGUAGUAGUAGUAGUAGUAGUAGUAGAAUCGAUGUUGUUGUUGGUG